rnacentral:rRNA from 1 species
AAACGAUGAUAGCUUGCUAUCAGGCGUCGAGCGCGGACGGGUGAGUAAUACUUAGGAAUCUACCUAGUAGUGGGGGAUAGCUCGGGGAAACUCGAAUUAAUACCGCAUACGACCUACGGGAGAAAGGGGGCAACUUGUUGCUCUCGCUAUUAGAUGAGCCUAAGUCGGAUUAGCUAGAUGGUGGGGUAAAGGCCUACCAUGGCGACGAUCUGUAGCUGGUCUGAGAGGAUGAUCAGCCACACCGGGACUGAGACACGGCCCGGACUCCUACGGGAGGCAGCAGUGGGGAAUAUUGGACAAUGGGGGCAACCCUGAUCCAGCCAUGCCGCGUGUGUGAAGAAGGCCUUUUGGUUGUAAAGCACUUUAAGCAGUGAAGAAGACUCCGUGGUUAAUACCCACGGACGAUGACAUUAGCUGCAGAAUAAGCACCGGCUAACUCUGUGCCAGCAGCCGCGGUAAUACAGAGGGUGCAAGCGUUAAUCGGAAUUACUGGGCGUAAAGCGAGCGUAGGUGGCUUGAUAAGUCAGAUGUGAAAUCCCCGGGCUUAACCUGGGAACUGCAUCUGAUACUGUUAGGCUAGAAUAGGUGANAGGAAGGUAGAAUUCCCGGUGUAGCGGUGAAAUGCGUAAGAUCUGGAGGAAUACCGAUGGCGAAGGCAGCCUCUGGCUCUAUGACCNGAGUCAAAGCUGGUGCAACAG